rnacentral:rRNA from 1 species
UUUAUGGAGAGUUUGAUCCUGGCUCAGGAUGAACGCUGGCGGCGUGCCUAAUACAUGCAAGUCGAGCGAACGGACGAGAAGCUUGCUUCUCUGAUGUUAGCGGCGGACGGGUGAGUAACACGUGGAUAACCUACCUAUAAGACUGGGAUAACUUCGGGAAACCGGAGCUAAUACCGGAUAAUAUUUUGAACCGCAUGGUUCAAAAGUGAAAGACGGUCUUGCUGUCACUUAUAGAUGGAUCCGCGCUGCAUUAGCUAGUUGGUAAGGUAACGGCUUACCAAGGCAACGAUGCAUAGCCGACCUGAGAGGGUGAUCGGCCACACUGGAACUGAGACACGGUCCAGACUCCUACGGGAGGCAGCAGUAGGGAAUCUUCCGCAAUGGGCGAAAGCCUGACGGAGCAACGCCGCGUGAGUGAUGAAGGUCUUCGGAUCGUAAAACUCUGUUAUUAGGGAAGAACAUAUGUGUAAGUAACUGUGCACAUCUUGACGGUACCUAAUCAGAAAGCCACGGCUAACUACGUGCCAGCAGCCGCGGUAAUACGUAGGUGGCAAGCGUUAUCCGGAAUUAUUGGGCGUAAAGCGCGCGUAGGCGGUUUUUUAAGUCUGAUGUGAAAGCCCACGGCUCAACCGUGGAGGGUCAUUGGAAACUGGAAAACUUGAGUGCAGAAGAGGAAAGUGGAAUUCCAUGUGUAGCGGUGAAAUGCGCAGAGAUAUGGAGGAACACCAGUGGCGAAGGCGACUUUCUGGUCUGUAACUGACGCUGAUGUGCGAAAGCGUGGGGAUCAAACAGGAUUAGAUACCCUGGUAGUCCACGCCGUAAACGAUGAGUGCUAAGUGUUAGGGGGUUUCCGCCCCUUAGUGCUGCAGCUAACGCAUUAAGCACUCCGCCUGGGGAGUACGACCGCAAGGUUGAAACUCAAAGGAAUUGACGGGGACCCGCACAAGCGGUGGAGCAUGUGGUUUAAUUCGAAGCAACGCGAAGAACCUUACCAAAUCUUGACAUCCUUUGACAACUCUAGAGAUAGAGCCUUCCCCUUCGGGGGACAAAGUGACAGGUGGUGCAUGGUUGUCGUCAGCUCGUGUCGUGAGAUGUUGGGUUAAGUCCCGCAACGAGCGCAACCCUUAAGCUUAGUUGCCAUCAUUAAGUUGGGCACUCUAAGUUGACUGCCGGUGACAAACCGGAGGAAGGUGGGGAUGACGUCAAAUCAUCAUGCCCCUUAUGAUUUGGGCUACACACGUGCUACAAUGGACAAUACAAAGGGCAGCGAAACCGCGAGGUCAAGCAAAUCC